AGAGUUUGAUCCUGGCUCAGGAUGAACGCGAGCGGCAGUCCUAACACAUGCAAGUCGAGGGGUAACAGGGGAUGUCGGUUCCGAUGACGACCGGCGCACGGGUGAGUAACGCGUAUGCAACCUACCUCAAACAGGGGGAUAGCUCAGGGAAACGGAAAUUAAUACCCCAUAGUAUUAUAAUACCGCAUGGUAUAAUAAUUAAAGUUCCGACUGUUAUGGAUGGGCAUGCGUUCCAUUAGUUAGAUGGUGAGGUAACGGCUCACCAUGACAAUGAUGGCUACGGGGUCUUAAAGGAUGGUCCCGCACACUGGUACUGAGACACGGACCAGACUCCUACGGGAGGCAGCAGUGAGGAAUAUUGGUCAAUGGGCGCAAGCCUGAACCAGCCAUGCCGCGUGCAGGAAGACGGCCCUAUGGGUUGUAAACUGCUUUUAUAUAGGAAGAAAAUGUUCUACGUGUAGAGCACUGACGGUACUAUAAGAAUAAGCAUCGGCUAACUCCGUGCCAGCAGCCGCGGUAAUACGGAGGAUGCAAGCGUUAUCCGGAUUUAUUAGGUUUAAAGGGUGUGUAGGCGGAAUUUUAAGUCAGUGGUGAAAUCUCACAGCUCAACUGUGAAACUACCAUUGAUACUGAAAUUCUUUAUUACAGUUGUAGUGGGCGGAAUAUAGCAUGUAGCGGUGAAAUGCUUAUAUAUGCUAUAGAACACCGAUCGCGAAGGCAGCUCACUAAGCUGUAACUGACGCUCAGGCACGAAAGCGUGGGGAGCAAACAGGAUUAGAUACCCUGGUAGUCCACGCCGUAAACGAUGAUUACUCGAUGUUGGCAAUACACCGUCAGCGUCCAAGCGAAAGCGUUAAGUAAUCCACCUGGGGAGUACGCUCGCAAGAGUGAAACUCAAAGGAAUUGACGGGGGCCCGCACAAGCGGAGGAGCAUGUGGUUUAAUUCGAUGAUACGCGAGGAACCUUACCUGAGCUAAAACGUAGAAUCACAGCUUGUGAAAACAGAUUCCUUCGGGACAGUCUACGAGGUGCUGCAUGGUUGUCGUCAGCUCGUGCCGUGAGGUGUCGGGUUAAGUCCCAUAACGAGCGCAACCCCUAUUCUUAGUUGCCAUCAGGUAAUGCUGGGGACUCUAAGAAAACUGCCUACGCAAGUAGUGAGGAAGGUGGGGAUGACGUCAAAUCAGCACGGCCCUUACGUCCAGGGCUACACACGUGCUACAAUGGUCGAUACAGAGGGCAGCUACCAUGUGAAUGGAUGCAAAUCUCGAAAAUCGAUCUCAGUUCGGAUCGAAGUCUGCAACUCGACUUCGUGAAGUUGGAUUCGCUAGUAAUCGCGCAUCAGCCAUGGCGCGGUGAAUACGUUCCCGGGCCUUGUACACACCGCCCGUCAAGCCAUGGAAGCUGGGGGUACCUGAAGUUCGUGACCGCAAGGAGCGACCUAGGGUAAAACUAGUAACUAGGGCUAAGUCGUAACAAGGUAGCC
rnacentral:rRNA from 1 species